rnacentral:rRNA from 1 species
CCUACGGGUGGCAGCAGUGAGGAAUAUUGGUCAAUGGACGAGAGCCUGAACCAGCCAAGUAGCGUGAAGGAUGACUGCCCUAUGGGUUGUAAACUUCUUUUAUAAAGGAAUAAAACGCGGCACGUGUGCCUUUUCGCAUGUACUUUAUGAAUAAGGAUCGGCUAACUCCGUGCCAGCAGCCGCGGUAAUACGGAGGAUCCGAGCGUUAUCCGGAUUUAUUGGGUUUAAAGGGAGCGUAGGAGGGUUGUUAAGUCAGGUGUGAAAGUUUGCGGCUCAACCGUCAAAUUGCAAUUGAUACUGGCAGGCUUGAGUACAGUUGAGGUAGGCGGAAUUCGUGGUGUAGCGGUGAAAUGCUUAGAUAUCACGAAGAACCCCGAUUGCGAAGGCAGCUUACUAAACUGUGACUGACAUUGAUGCUCGAAAGUGUGGGUAUCAAACAGGAUUAGAUACCCGAGUAGUC